GCAUCGAUGAAGAACGCAGCGAAAUGCGAUAAGUAAUGUGAAUUGCAGAAUUCAGUGAAUCAUCGAAUCUUUGAACGCACAUUGCGCCCGCCAGUAUUCUGGCGGGCAUGCCUGUCCGAGCGUCAUUUC
rnacentral:rRNA from 1 species